rnacentral:miRNA from 1 species
UGAGUGUGAGGCGUUGGAUUGA